rnacentral:tRNA from 1 species
GCCCCAGUGGCGCAAUUGGUUAGCGCGUCGUACUUAUAGUCAGUACCGAACUGUUAGCGAAAUGCGAAGGGCGUGGGUUCGAUCCCCACCUGGGGCA